rnacentral:rRNA from 1 species
CAGCAGCCACGGUAAAACAGAGGGUGCGAGCGUUAAUCGGAUUUACUGGGCGUAAAGCGUGCGUAGGCGGCUUCUUAAGUCGGAUGUGAAAUCCCCGGGCUCAACCUGGGAACUGCAUCCGAAACUGGCAGGCUAGAGUCUUGUAGAGGGGGGUAGAAUUCCAGGUGUAGCGGUGAAAUGCGUAGAGAUCUGGAGGAAUACCGGUGGCGAAGGCGGCCCCCUGGACAAAGACUGACGCUCAGGUGCGAAAGCGUGGGGAGCAAACAGGAUUAGAUACCCCUGUAGUCCCUGUCUCUUAUAC